UAGCAUAUCAAUAAGCGGAGGAAAAGAAACCAACCGGGAUUGCCUUAGUAACGGCGAGUGAAGCGGCAAAAGCUCAAAUUUGAAAUCUGGUACCUUCGGUGCCCGAGUUGUAAUUUGUAGAAGGUAACUUUGGGGCUGGUCCUUGUCUAUGUUCCUUGGAACAGGACGUCAUAGAGGGUGAGAAUCCCGUGUGGCGAGGAUCCCAGUUCUUUGUAAAGUGCUUUCGAAGAGUCGAGUUGUUUGGGAAUGCAGCUCUAAGUGGGUGGUAAAUUCCAUCUAAAGCUAAAUAUUGGCGAGAGACCGAUAGCGAACAAGUACAGUGAUGGAAAGAUGAAAAGAACUUUGAAAAGAGAGUGAAAAAGUACGUGAAAUUGUUGAAAGGGAAGGGCAUUUGAUCAGACAUGGUGUUUUGCGCCCUCUGCUCCUUGUGGGUGGGGGAAUCUCGCAGCUCACUGGGCCAGCAUCAGUUUUGGCGGCAGGAUAAAUCUGCAAGAAUGUAGCUUGCCUCGGUAAGUGUUAUAUCCUGUAGAAAUACUGCCAGCUGGGACUGAGGACUGCGACUUUACGUCAAGGAUGCUGGCAUAAUGGUUAUAUGCCGCCCGUCUUGAAACACGGACCAAGGAGUCUAACGUCUAUGCGAGUGUUUGGGUGUAAAACCCGUACGCGUAAUGAAAGUGAACGUAGGUUGGGGCCUCGCAAGAGGUGCACAAUCGACCGAUCCUGAUGUCUUCGGAUGGAUUUGAGUAAGAGCAUAGCUGUUGGGACCCGAAAGAUGGUGAACUAUGCCUGAAUAGGGUGAAGCCAGAGGAAACUCUGGUGGAGGCUCGUAGCGGUUCUGACGUGCAAAUCGAUCGUCGAAUUUGGGUAUAGGGGCGAAAGACUAAUCG
rnacentral:rRNA from 1 species